UAACAUUAGACAGCAAGCAUUAUAUUGGACUGAUAUCUGAAAUAAAAAAUAAGUAAAUGGUAUAGACAUGUAAAUUUGCCAUAAACAAGAUUGCUACAAUCUAAGUUUUGAAGAGUAUGCGUAUCACUGGACUAUAUCUCAUACUGUUAAAUAUUGCUGCUGUUCAUGAGAGAAGUUGAGAUGAUAGCUGAUGUUUAUUCACAAAAUGCAGAUAUCUUUGUUGGGUUCAGAUAUUGUAAAAGGUUAAUGAGAUAUUAAGUCACAAGUGGGCAGAAAGUCUCUGAGGUUUACAAGCAGACAGUUAAUAAUGCAGUGUGACAAGCUGCUCUUGUUCUCCAGCUACAUCAGCAGUCCUAAAUGACAGCAGACUACACAGAAGAUUACUCUCAAAAUUAUAAAGUACAUUAGUUUUUGGAAUGGCAAACUGAAGGCUUUUUUUUUUUUUUUUAAUGAUACCCAUUCUGAAAAAGUAAUGAACUUUAUAGGAUUAUUUCAGACUUGCAUCUCUGACUUGUUGCUCUUCUGUCUGGCACCUGUUUUCAGAUUCUCGGAGUCAGCUGAUGUGCCUUUUACCACAUAACAUUUCUAAAACUGUUUAUGUUAUGAAAGAAAGAAAACAGUAUCUGCUUUGUAUGGUUGAUAGAGCAAAUUACAAUUUUCAAAUGGAAAAUACCAUUUAGGCUAGAGAGGAAUAUAUGUGCCCUCAGAAACAUUUGGAGUUUUCUAUUAUUCUCCAAAUUACAAAGAUAAGGAGAGUUAGACUUGACAAGGAAAAUUACUGAGGUGCCCCUGUUCUGUUCUCGCUACGUCCCCAUAAGUGGGAUUUUUAUUUGCUGAAACAGGUCAGCUUUAAAUUGCAGCUAACAUAGCAUGAAAUUCCUGUGGAGCAUGAGGCAAAACAAAACAAAACACCAAAACAAAACCAUUAGCUUAUGGAUUGCUUUUCGGUGCCUUUUUAGCCUUGUAGCCCAAGGUGCAGUGGAAGUUACUGGAUCUACCUGUGGUAUUCAAGCAUCAUCUAAGAAUUACUUGGACACUGAUGCUCAUGACACCAAAGCUCUACGUUCACCAGGCCAGUCUUGCCAAGCUGGAACUGCAGAACACUGCACUAGGAUGAGAGCUGCAGUCAUGCCUGUCCUACAACACCAUCCUUGUGCUGCUGCUAACUGGCUGAGGCAAAGAACAAGCCAACCUUACAGUAUGAAAGAUAUAAGCAACCACUUCUGGUAUAUAAUGUUUGCAAGAAAAAGUAAAACUGAUCUCUAGCCCUAAUGAAGGUAAAUGUACAUAUAUUUAAUAAGUGUUAGAAAAAGGUGCAUUUGCUCUGGAAAAUGAAUUUCCAGGCGGAUAUUGUACAAGCAAGAGAGAAAGGUGAGCAGGCAAAUAAUAAUGUAGUUGUCAAAAAUCGACUUCUUGAUCCGUAUGAAUGUUUAGUAAAGUAUAGUAUAUGUCACAUGUUUUGGCAUUUAAGAUGGUAGAGAGCAGUAACACUCCCAGCUCCCCCUCUUUCCCUUCCUCCAAAUAAGCUGUCUUUCUAGGAAAGAGGCUAGAAAUAAAAUGCUGGAGAAUACCCUGUGGAACUUGGAC
ensembl:lncRNA